UCGCUCGAUUUAUGAUGAAAAAUUAUAAAGCAAUCAAUUCCUGAACAAUAUUCAGCUAUUACGAAAACAAAACUGUCAAAAUGAAGAAAGUCUGUGUUGCACUGUGCGUCAUCUUGGUUUGCAUGGUUGUCGUGGACAUGGUAAAUGCUCAAGGCAAGCAAACAAAAGAUGCGGCCAACGCAGCAGCAAAAGCCGGAAAGGAAGCUGCUGGUCAAGCCAGGGACGCUGCAGGUCAAGCUGCGGACAUGGCAGGCCAAGCAAAAGACGCUGCAAAAGGGAAAGCAGGUCGCUAAACCAUCUGAACAUAUUAUGGCUAAGAUUUAAUGACAAUAUCAAAAUAAAACUUCUGCAUUGAAAA